rnacentral:tRNA from 1 species
AGUUAAUUAACUUAUUGAAAAGUAUAUGUUUUGAAAACAUAAUAUAAAGGUUUAAAUCCUUUAUUAACUU